rnacentral:rRNA from 1 species
GCAAGUCGAACGAAGUAGCAAUACUUAGUGGCAGACGGGUGAGUAACAUGUAGGCAUCUGCCCUUUGGCCUGGAAUAACACGAGGAAACUUGUGCUAAUACCGGAUAAGUCUUUACGGAGAAAGCUUUAUGCACCAUUGGAUGAGCCUGCACUUGAUUAGUUUGUUGGUAGGGUAAUGGCCUACCAAGACUGUGAUCAAUAGCUGAUUUGAGAGGAUGAUCAGCCACAUUGGGACUGAGACACGGCCCAAACUCCUACGGGAGGCAGCAGUGGGGAAUCUUGCACAAUGGAGGAAACUCUGAUGCAGCGAUGCCGCGUGAGUGAAGAAGGCCCUUGGGUUGUAAAGCUCUUUCGUCGGGGAAGAAAAUGACUGUACCCGAAUAAGAAGGUCCGGCUAACUUCGUGCCAGCAGCCGCGGUAAUACGAAGGGACCUAGCGUAGUUCGGAAUUACUGGGCUUAAAGAGUUCGUAGGUGGUUGAAAAAGUUGGUGGUGAAAUCCCAGAGCUUAACUCUGGAACUGCCAUCAAAACUUUUCAGCUAGAGUAUGAUAGAGGAAAGCAGAAUUUCUAGUGUAGAGGUGAAAUUCGUAGAUAUUAGAAAGAAUACCAAUUGCGAAGGCAGCUUUCUGGAUCAUUACUGACACUGAGGAACGAAAGCAUGGGUAGCGAAGAGGAUUAGAUACCCUCGUAGUCCAUGCCGUANACGAUGUGUGUUGGACGUCGGAAAUUUAUUUUCAGUGUCGCAGCGAAAGCGAUAAACACACCGCCUGGGGAGUACGACCGCAAGGUUAAAACUCAAAUGAAUUGAC